CUCGCGGCUCCUCCAGUGUUCUGCAAUUAGGGGGCGGCUGCUGCCCUGUGAGGAGAAAGGGGCGGGAACGAGUCACGUGACGUGGGGCAGCUCCAGGACUGUGGGGUAUUUAUUGAGGAAACCCCAUUAAAGUAUGAGGAGCAUGCGGCUGUGCGUGAGCAUGCAUCCCACGUCCCGGGCUUCACGUGUCACAGAGUUAGCACAACAAGGCUCAUGAUGGUAACAGGAAAAAGGCCGACGUGCGGAAGUGAAACCCUAGAGUUCAAAUAAUCAGCCAGGAACUAAAAGUUAAGUUGAGGGGCUUAGGAGCCCCCAGAGGAUGAAGGAAUUAAUUCCCUGUGAUCCAUUGGUUAGCAUCGGACCGGAGAUACAUAUCUGACGCUGAAUAAUCUUUUUGUACAUUCAACCAACCUGUUUACGGUACCAGCUGUGAUAUUGGAAUUCCGCGGUGAAAUUAUAUCCGAGACUGCAAGGAUACGACAAUAGUCUGUGGACAGAUUCCUUUACAAGGGCCUGAUGGACCUAGUGAGUAUAUGGGCUUCCGGCGCCCCCUAGUGCUCAACAGUUGGCAAAACAACCUG